UUUUGUUGUUACAGCAAUCGGAUGUUCCAGUUUUAAACUCACUUGAUAAGGAAGGAAAAGAAUCAUUUCAUUCAGAUUCUUUACAACGGUUGUUAUACCCACCACAACCAAAUUUGACAAUUAAACUUGCCUGGAACACUGGUUUUAAAUUUGGUUCUGAUUGCUGUAGCAGAUACUCUAUCAGUUUUCAUCGUGUUUCACCUAAACGUCAGUUCCUUUUCGAGCACUUGUUAUAUAGAACAAAAGUGUAUACAUCUGACAAUUUCUGUGAAGAUGCACAGCCUGCAUUUAAUCCAUACAUUGUUAAGCCUGCUUAUUAGGAUAACUGUAAACUGUAUGCAAAAUUUAAAACUUGUAACACUUGCAAUCAUGUAACACUUGCAAUCAAAUCAUUUUAACUAAAUAUUCUAUGUAUAUAGGCACUUUUAUGUUAUAUCAUUAAUGAUGAUUUUUAAAGUACAAAUGAUACACAUAUGGUCACUGUCGUUUUAUUGGAAACCAAAACUACUCUGAGACGUGUAUAAAAAGGAUGUUGUAUGGCCGAAAUGACAAGACUAAUAUUCAGGAUGUUUAUGUAUGAUAAUUGAAAGGAACAUUAUUUGUUAACUACAAAAUACAUAUUGAUACGUAGUGUUGUAUCUAGCAUCUAUCAAUCACAAUAAAAACGUUCAUAGUGCAGACGUGACAUCAGAAACAUUUUGCAGGGAACAGAUAAUUUAUGUCAGUAUUUUACAAAAUAAUACCGAUAGUCAGUGAAAAAUAUAGUGACUGUAAAUAUAUGUAUAUAUAUUUAUUAUAAGAUAAUAUAUAGUAUAUAAGCGGCAAGUAGUAGAUCUCAAUCUUAUAUACUUUGAUGAAAAGCUAAAAGCUUGUAUUGAUGAUCCCCCUGCUCAGCCAUGUUCAGGCUUUGGGUUUUUUUUAAAAAAGGCCAAAGGUCACCACUUGCUUUUUCAAUAGCUUUUUCCAGAUUUUGAAAUUUUGUAAAUAGGACUAAUGAAGACAGGAAUGUGUCUUGUGUUCAUUUUGCGACGUAAGGAAAUGUCUUUCUACCUUAUUUGAAACAGUCCCUUUAUACAGUAAAUGAAAUGUAUUUUGUUUCUCAAACUUAUUGAAGAGGGCAAAAUAAAUUAUGCCAUUGUUAUGUAUUUUAUUUACUUUUUCUUAUGAAAAAAUGGAAUGAAAAUACGUACGUUUGUUAAGACUGUAUUGAUACUACAUCUUAGAAACAAGUGCAGCACAUUUUGGCAUGUAACAUCAGUAACGCUUAAAAUUGUAGAGUUAAACAUGGUAAAUAAGGAAAAUAGUUGGUUUUUGUCAGUAUAUUUAAAAUAUUUUAAACAAAUAUCUUAGUUUUAUGGUUAUUCAAUUACUUUUAACCAGAGCGGCCUAAAUUUGUCACCGAUAACGCAGUGUAACAUUUUUACAUGUUUCACCUGUAAGUAUGAAAGAUAACUGUAUGUUAUUGGUAAAUUAUUGGUUAAUUAUGAUAUAUAUCAUUCUUUACCUCUUUAACUGUUUUUGGACUUUCUGCAUACUUUAUUAUACGAGUAAACAGUUUAUCACGACAGUUAGUUAUAAGUAAAUAUAUAUAAAGUGUUUGUUUAUUAUAACGACAACCCUACUGAAAGGACCAGCCAUGUUGACUGAUGGAACAGUUUCAUACAUUAAACAGCAUUACUUCCUGA